CCCUUAGAUGUCCGGGGCCGCACGCGCGCUACACUGAAGGAAUCAGCGUGGCUUUCUCCCUGACCCGAAAGGGUUGGGAAACCCGUUGAAUCUCCUUCGUGAUAGGGAUUGGGGCUUGAAAUUGUUCCCCAUGAACGAGGAAUUCCCAGUAAGCGCGAGUCAUAAGCUCGCGUCGAUUACGUCCCUGCCCUUUGUACACACCGCCCGUCGCUCCUACCGAUUGGGUGUGCUGGUGAAAUGUUCGGAUCGGCCGUUUGUCGCGGUUUCCGCGUCAUGUGGCUGAGAAGUUCAUUAAACCCUCCCACCUAGAGGAAGGAGAAGUCGUAACA
rnacentral:rRNA from 1 species